CCUACGGGCGGCUGCAGUGGGGAAUAUUGCACAAUGGGCGCAAGCCUGAUGCAGCCAUGCCGCGUGUGUGAAGAAGGCCUUCGGGUUGUAAAGCACUUUCAGCGGGGAGGAAGGCGGUGAGGUUAAUAACCUCAUCGAUUGACGUUACCCGCAGAAGAAGCACCGGCUAACUCCGUGCCAGCAGCCGCGGUAAUACGGAGGGUGCAAGCGUUAAUCGGAAUUACUGGGCGUAAAGCGCACGCAGGCGGUCUGUCAAGUCGGAUGUGAAAUCCCCGGGCUCAACCUGGGAACUGCAUUCGAAACUGGCAGGCUAGAGUCUUGUAGAGGGGGGUAGAAUUCCAGGUGUAGCGGUGAAAUGCGUAGAGAUCUGGAGGAAUACCGGUGGCGAAGGCGGCCCCCUGGACAAAGGCUGACGCUCAGGUGCGAAAGCGUGGGGAGCAAACAGGAUUAGAUACCCCGGUAGUC
rnacentral:rRNA from 1 species